ensembl:lncRNA
GUGGUUGUAGACCUCCAAGUCAAGAAUGGCAACUGAGCCUCAGAAAUGAAGCUUGGGUUUAGACCCCACAUGAGGAUGGAUGAGAUCUGCUAAUGAAGAAACGCUGGAUAAGAAGGAAGAAGAACUUGAACUCAGUCUUGACCUCCAGAGGCCAAGAAACUUGAAAAGGAGACUGAAGAGGGAAUUACACAGAUCAACCCUCGUGUUCUUCCACAAACUAGAGAGUUUCCCAUCGGGGACAUGACAGACCUGAGGAUUCUGGAUCCUAGAGUUGUACCCAGCCUCUCUCACUGGACUCACUCCUGGGAGGUUACGAAGGAUGCUGUUGUUCCAAGAUUAAGGAUGAUCUCUGUUGGGCCCUGGAGCCGGAGGGGACAUGCUGGUUGGAUUGGCCCUUCCUUUGGCCUUGCUGAAGGGCCUGCUGAGUUUUCAGAUCAUCUGAAGCUUUAAUCUAGGACCUAGGAAGCCUCGAGUGCCCAUGUGGUGGAGCCUGUGACCCUGCGGCACAGCACAGCACUCCAGCUUAGCUGGUGUUUGGUGGCCUGAGCUGGAGGUGACCCUCAGAGCCCCCAGAGAGAUCUGGAAUUGAAUCCCAGCUCUCCUGGGUGUGACUUUGAGUAAAUUGUUU